rnacentral:rRNA from 1 species
CAGGCCUAGCACAUGCAAGUCGAACGAAGUGCCUUCGGGUCAAUAGUGGCGCACGGGUGCGUAACGCGUGGGAAUCUGCCCCUUGGUUCGGAAUAACAGCGAGAAAUUGCUGCUAAUACCGGAUGACGACGUAAGUCCAAAGAUUUAUCGCCGAGGGAUGAGCCCGCGUCCGAUUAGCUAGUUGGUGAGGUAAGAGCUCACCAAAGCGACGAUCGGUAGCUGGUCUGAGAGGAUGAUCAGCCACACUGGGACUGAGACACGGCCCAGACUCCUACGGGAGGCAGCAGUGGGGAAUAUUGGACAAUGGGCGAAAGCCUGAUCCAGCAAUGCCGCGUGAGUGAUGAAGGCCUUAGGGUUGUAAAGCUCUUUUACCCGGGAUGAUAAUGACAGUACCGGGAGAAUAAGCUCCGGCUAACUCCGUGCCAGCAGCCGCGGUAAU